CCUACGGGAGGCUGCAGUGGGGAAUAUUGCACAAUGGGGGAAACCCUGAUGCAGCGACGCCGCGUGAGUGAGGAAGUAUUUCGGUAUGUAAAGCUCUAUCAGCAGGGAAGAAAAUGACGGUACCUGACUAAGAAGCCCCGGCUAACUACGUGCCAGCAGCCGCGGUAAUACGUAGGGGGCAAGCGUUAUCCGGAUUUACUGGGUGUAAAGGGAGCGUAGACGGCUAAUCAAGUCAGAAGUGAAAACGCAGGGCUCAACCUUGGGACUGCUUUUGAAACUGAGUAGCUAGAGUGCAGGAGAGGUAAGCGGAAUUCCUAGUGUAGCGGUGAAAUGCGUAGAUAUUAGGAGGAACACCAGUGGCGAAGGCGGCUUACUGGACUGUAACUGACGUUGAGGCUCGAAAGCGUGGGGAGCAAACAGGAUUAGAUACCCUAGUAGUC
rnacentral:rRNA from 1 species